GUCCACGCUGUAAACGAUGAUUACUUGCUAUUGGGUGUAAGCUCAGUGGCUAAGCGAAAGUGAUAAGUAAUCCACCUGGGGAGUACGAACGCAAGUUUGAAACUCAAAGGAAUUGACGGGGGCCCCGCACAAGCGGUGGAGCAUGUGGUUUAAUUCGAUGAUACGCGAGGAACCUUACCAAGGCUUAAAUGGGAAAUGACAGGUUUAGAGAUAGACUUUUCUUCGGACAUUUUUCAAGGUGCUGCAUGGUUGUCGU
rnacentral:rRNA from 1 species